rnacentral:lncRNA from 1 species
UUAGCCGCAACUGAGUCUGAGACUUGUGCGCUUGAACCCACGAACCUCUCAUUGGAGGAAGGGAAUACAUAAUCUCAGUUUGUGCUUAUUGUAUGAUGAAGUCAGAUUAAAAAUAUUUUCUGUUUGUUCUUAAACAUAUGGAUUAGGCAGAGACUAAUGUUAAAUUUAUCAAUAUACAUUUAAAUAAGUAAAUAACGAAACAUAAAUGUUUUUGUUAGCGAAUAGAACCUAAUCUCAGCAAAACUGGAAUCACAAUGACCAACCGAUAUCUGAC